GGUUGAUCCUGCCAGUAGUCAUAUGCUUGUCUCAAAGAUUAAGCCAUGCAUGUCUAAGUAUAAACUGCUUUAUACUGUGAAACUGCGAAUGGCUCAUUAAAUCAGUAAUAAUUUAAUUGAUGGUACAUACUACUCGGAUAACCGUAGUAAUUCUAGAGCUAAUACGUGCGCACAUCCCGACUGUUGCGGAAGGGACGUAUUUAUUAGAUCCAAGACCGACCGAGCUGCUUGCAGUUCGUCUCGCGGUGACUCAUGAUAACUUAUCGAAUCGUAUGGCCUUGUUGCUGGCGAU
rnacentral:rRNA from 1 species